CAGGUCAGGGGCCUCACCGAAGCGGUGCAGGUCAUGCAGCAGCAGCAGUUGUAGGCAUCUGUGCGGCUGGAAAGAGCAUCGUCGGAGUUCCAGAAUCCGACAAUCGGACGGUCCACUUGGGCCAGUCUCCCUGUACCCCCCAGAAAGGAGAAGCAGAAAGCGGAGAGCCCUCUAUCUGAUCAUGAUUCCAUCCCCAGAGGGUCCCUACCUCCAUUCUGCCAGAAGACCUCGAGAUUCACGAUCGAGAGGAUCUUUUGGAUCAAAGGUUCCAAGAGAUGAACCGAC
rnacentral:lncRNA from 1 species